rnacentral:tRNA from 1 species
GGGCUCGUAGCUCAAUGGAUAGAGCGUCGGCCUUCUAAGUCGAAGGCUGCAGGUUCGAGUCCUGCCGAGCCCG